GAUCAUGGCUCGGGACGAACGCUGGCGGCGCGCCUAACACAUGCAAGUCGAACGAGAGAUGAGGAGCUUGCUCUUCAAAUCGAGUGGCGAACGGGUGAGUAACGCGUGAGGAACCUGCCUCAAAGAGGGGGACAACAGUUGGAAACGACUGCUAAUACCGCAUAAGCCCACGGCUCGGCAUCGAGCAGGGUGAAAAGGAGCAAUCCGCUUUGAGAUGGCCUCGCGUCCGAUUAG
rnacentral:rRNA from 1 species